AGGACGAACGCUGGCGGCGUGCUUAACACAUGCAAGUCGAACGAGGCGCUUGCGCCUAGUGGCGAACGGGUGAGUAACACGUGAGCAACCUGCCCUUGGCUCUGGGAUAGCCUCCGGAAACGGGGAUUAAUACCGGACAUGGCCCGUGAUUGCAUGAUCACGGGUGGAAAGUUUUUCGGCCAGGGAUGGGCUCGCGGCCUAUCAGCUUGUGGGGGGUAACGCCCACCAAGGCGACGACGGGUA
rnacentral:rRNA from 1 species